rnacentral:rRNA from 1 species
GACGAACGCUGGCGGCGUGCUUAACACAUGCAAGUCGAACGGAAAGUCCCUUCUUUUGUUGGGUGCUCGAGUGGCGAACGUGUGAGUAACACGUGUGUAACCUUCCCUUGACUUUGGUAUAACUUCAUGAAACUUGUUCUAAUACCUUAUAGGAUCUCCUGCUGCAUGUUUGUGGUUUGAAAGUUUCGGCGGUUGGGGAUGGACUCGCGGCUUAUCAGCUUGUUUGUUGGGUAGUGGCUUACCAAGGCUUUGACGGGUAGCCGGCCUGAGAGGGUUACCGGAGACAUUGGGACUGAGAUACGGCACAGACUACAACGGGAGGCAGAAGUGGGGAAUAUUGCACAAUGGGAGGAAGCAUGAUGAAGCAAAGCAGCGUGCGGGAUGACGGCCUUCGGGUUGUAAAACGAUUUCGCCUGUGACGAAGAGUGGGUGACGGUAAUGGGUAAAGAAGCACCGGCUAACUACGUG